UACGUAGGGUGCAAGCAUUAAUCGGAUUUAUUGGGCGUAAAGGGCGCGUAGGCGGGAGAAUAAGUCAGAUGUGAAAUCCCGGGGCUCAACCCCGGAACAGCAUUUGAAACUAUUUUUCUAGAGGGUAGGCGGAGAAAACGGAAUUCCACAAGUAGCGGUGAAAUGCGUAGAGAUGCGGAGGAACACCGAUGGCGAAGGCAGCCCCCUGGGCUGACACUGACGCUCAGGCACGAAAGCGUGGGGAGCAAACAGG
rnacentral:rRNA from 1 species